CAGGUGGGCAAUGCGCAGUUGAGCUGCAGGUGACCCUGCAUACCGUCAUCGACAGUACAGCUCUCAUCGAUGGAAGGACGCAUGGUAUAACGGCGGCACAGAGUGCAGCAGGUUGUUGUCAUACAAUCUGAAGGCCAGGCACCACAUAUUCCAGGCUCAGGGAGCGGUUUCAACUGGGUUGAACUUUAGGUCCUCUGCUGCAGACGCGGCCCAGGUGCCUGAGGGACAGGCACAAGGAGUGAUAUGAUUGCCUGAGCUUAAUACACGGCCUGGUUAAUAGCACCUGGUUAAAAGCCGCCAGGGCAUCUCCACGCAUCCGCAAAGUAUCCUCGCUGGUCUUUAGUCCGUAGCAGCAGACAAGCGGAGAAGUUCGUUUGAAAAUAUAUAUCGUAACAAAAUAUGAUAUAUGGGCCUUGCCUUAGGCCUCCUGUGCCCUUUCUCUGGACAACCCUACAUGUCCGUAACCCUGUCUAUCGCGUACCUCGCCCGUAAUGCAUCGCUUCGCGUAUCAUCAGAUUAAGGCAGGAGCAUAAUUGCAUUAUGCAAAUGAAACUGUGAUUGGCAGUUUUACCAUGUUUGACGUUUUGUCUAUGGUAACUCAAGGCGUGCAAAGUGGCGCAAAUUGCAUUUAUAAACCUUUUUAGAAAGUAAAACAAAUGUGCUUCAUUAAAUGAGUGCGUUAUGUAUCAAGUAAGGAAUGUGACAAAGCGCUGAAGCCCAAAGGUACGGCAGCUCGGAUAGUGUACGGACUUCGAGCGUGUCCGCAAACGCUGGCUGCUAACGACGGAGCAA
rnacentral:lncRNA from 1 species